rnacentral:misc_RNA from 1 species
GAUGAAGAACGUAGCGAAAUGCGAUACGUAAUGUGAAUUGCAAAUUCAGUGAAUCAUCGAGUCUUUGAACGCACAUUGCGCCCCCUGGUAUUCCGGGGGGCAUGCCUGUCCGAGCGUCAUUGCUGCCCUCAAGCACGGCUUGUGUGUUGGGCCCCGUCCUCCGAUCCCGGGGGACGGGCCCGAAAGGCAGCGGCGGCACCGCGUCCGGUCCUCGAGCGUAUGGGGCUUUGUCACCCGCUCUGUAGGCCCGGCCGGCGCUUGCCGAUCAACCCAAAUUUUUAUCCAGGUUGACCUCGGAUCAGGUAGGGAUACCCGCUGAACUUAAGCAUAUCAAUAAGCGGAUGA